ACGCACGCUGGCGGCGCGCCUAACACAUGCCAGUCGAACGAGCGAGAGAGAGCUUGCUUUCUCGAGCGAGUGGCGAACGGGUGAGUAACGCGUGAGGAACCUGCCUCAAAGAGGGGGACAACAGUUGGAAACGACUGCUAAUACCGCAUAAGCCCACGACCCGGCAUCGGGUAGAGGGAAAAGGAGCAAUCCGCUUUGAGAUGGCCUCGCGUCCGAUUAGCUAGUUGGUGAGGUAACGGCCCACCAAGGCGACGAUCGGUAGCCGGACUGAGAGGUUGAACGGCCACAUUGGGACUGAGACACGGCCCAGACUCCUACGGGAGGCAGCAGUGGGGAAUAUUGCACAAUGGGGGAAACCCUGAUGCAGCGACGCCGCGGGGAGGAAGAAGGUCUUCGGAUUGUAAACUCCUGUUGUUGAGGAAGAUAAUGACGGUACUCAACAAGGAAGUGACGGCUAACUACGU
rnacentral:rRNA from 1 species